UAGUUGGUGGAGUGAUUUGUCUGGUUAAUUCCGUUAACGAACGAGACCUCGACCUGCUAAAUAGUUUGGCGAAUUCUUCGGAAUACGUACACAACUUCUUAGAGGGACUAUCGGUGUGUAGCCGAUGGAAGUUCGAGGCAAUAACAGGU
rnacentral:rRNA from 1 species